rnacentral:rRNA from 1 species
AUCAUUGCUGGAACGCGCUUCGGCGCACCCAGAAACCCUUUGUGAACUUAUACCUAUUUGUUGCCUCGGCGUAGGCCGGCCUCUUCACUGAGGCCCCCUGGAGACAGGGAGCAGCCCGCCGGCGGCCAACUAAACUCUUGUUUCUAUAGUGAAUCUCUGAGUAAAAACAUAAAUGAAUCAAAACUUUCAACAACGGAUCUCUUGGUUCUGGCAUCGAUGAAGAACGCAGCGAAAUGCGAUAAGUAAUGUGAAUUGCAGAAUUCAGUGAAUCAUCGAAUCUUUGAACGCACAUUGCGCCCUCUGGUAUUCCGGAGGGCAUGCCUGUUCGAGCGUCAUUUCAACCCUCAAGCCUGGCUUGGUGAUGGGGCACUGCCUUCUAGCGAGGGCAGGCCCUGAAAUCUAGUGGCGAGCUCGCUAGGACCCCGAGCGUAGUAGUUAUAUCUCGUUCUGGAAGGCCCUGGCGGUGCCCUGCCGUUAAACCCCCAACUUCUGAAAAUUUGACCUCGGAUCAGGUAGGAAUAC